CCUACGGGAGGCAGCAGUGAGGAAUAUUGGUCAAUGGUCGGGAGACUGAACCAGCCAAGCCGCGUGAGGGAUGAAGGUACAGAGUAUCGUAAACCUCUUUUGUCAGGGAACAAAGGCGGGGACGUGUCCCCGGAUGAGUGUACCUGAAGAAAAAGCAUCGGCUAACUCCGUGCCAGCAGCCGCGGUAAUACGGAGGAUGCGAGCGUUAUCCGGAUUUAUGGGGUUUAAAGGGUGCGCCGGCGGUCUUUUAAGUAGGCGGUCAAAGCCCGGGGCUCACCCCCGGCCCGCCGUUGAAACUGGCAGUCUCGAGUUGGAGAGAAGUAUGCGGAAUGCGCGGUGUAGCGGUGAAAUGCAUAGAUAUCGCGCAGAACUCCGAUUGCGAAGGCAGCAUGCCGGCUCCACACUGACGCUGAGGCACGAAAGCGUGGGUAUCGAACAGGAUUAGAUACCACAGUAGUC
rnacentral:rRNA from 1 species